rnacentral:rRNA from 1 species
GAUGAACGCUGGCGGCGUGCUUAACACAUGCAAGUCGAACGAUGAACCGGGUGCUUGCACUCGGGAUUAGUGGCGAACGGGUGAGUAACACGUGAGCAACCUGCCCCUGACUCUGGGAUAAGCGCUGGAAACGGCGUCUAAUACUGGAUAUGUCCCGUCACCGCAUGGUGUGCGGGUGGAAAGAUUUUUCGGUUGGGGAUGGGCUCGCGGCCUAUCAGCUUGUUGGUGAGGUAAUGGCUCACCAAGGCGUCGACGGGUAGCCGGCCUGAGAGGGUGACCGGCCACACUGGGACUGAGACACGGCCCAGACUCCUACGGGAGGCAGCAGUGGGGAAUAUUGCACAAUGGGCGGAAGCCUGAUGCAGCAACGCCGCGUGAGGGAUGACGGCCUUCGGGUUGUAAACCUCUUUUAGCAGGGAAGAAGCGGGAGUGACGGUACCUGCAGAAAAAGCACCGGCUAACUACGUGCCAGCCGCCGCGGUAACAC